ACUUUGACCGUGCAAAGGUAGCAUAAUCAUUUGCCCUAUAAUUGAGGGCUGGUAUGAAUGGUUUGACGUAAGCAAAACUGUCUCUAUAUUGAUUUUUUAGAAUUUGAUUUUUAGGUGAAGAAACCUAAAUUAAAUUAAAAGACAAGAAGACCCUAUUGAGCUUUAAAAAAGUAAAUAGAAUAAUAACUUUUUAUUUUAAAAAUUUAUCUAUUUAAGAUUUUGGUUGGGGCGACUAAGGAACAAAUAAAGCUUCUUCUUUCAUUAAAGUUUUACAGAUAUUGAUCCAGAUAUUUUGAUUAAAGAAAAUAGUUACCAUAGGGAUAACAGCAUAAUUCUCUUUAAGAGUUCAUAUCGAAAAGAGAGUUUGUGACCUCGAUGUUGGACUAGAAUAUCCUAAAGAUGCAG
rnacentral:rRNA from 1 species